rnacentral:rRNA from 1 species
AGCGAACGCUGGCGGUAGGCCUAACACAUGCAAGUCGAACGAAGUCUUCGGACUUAGAGGCGGACGGGUGAGUAACACGUGGGAACGUGCCUUUAGGUUCGGAAUAACUCAGGGAAACUUGUGCUAAUACCGAAUGUGCCCUUCGGGGGAAAGAUUUAUCGCCCUUAGAGCGGCCCGCGUCUGAUUAGCUAGUUGGUGAGGUAAAGGCUCACCAAGGCUACGAUCAGUAGCUGGUCUGAGAGGAUGACCAGCCACAUUGGGACUGAGACACGGCCCAAACUCCUACGGGAGGCAGCAGUGGGGAAUCUUGCGCAAUGGGCGAAAGCCUGACGCAGCCAUGCCGCGUGGAUGAUGAAGGUCUUAGGAUUGUAAAAUCCUUUCACCGGUGAAGAUAAUGACUGUAGCCGGAGAAGAAGCCCCGGCUAACUUCGUGCCAGCAGCCGCGGUAACAC